rnacentral:tRNA from 1 species
GUGGCUCAAAGGAGUAGGGCGCUGGACUCAUAUACCAGAGGUCGUGGGUUCAAACCCAACC